AUCAAUAUUUACAGCUCUGUCUGGGAAUGAUGCUCUCAAAAGUCAGAAAUGCAGUUAAAAGGGUCCUAAAUGUACCAUUUAACUACAAAAUGUAAACUAUGAUGAGAAGCAGAUGAUAUCAGGCCAAGGCUACUUGUGCAAUGCGACUGAAUUAAAGACAGAGGCAAGAGGCAGAUCAAGACUGAUUUCUUUUCAAAGCUUCAUUGUGACACGUGUUUGGUCAAGCAAGAGUUUCUGGAAAGACCAGCUUUACUGAAUGAUACCUUCUUCUGGUAGACAAACAAAGAAAGACAAUGAGAUCAAUGUUAUUUGUAUAACCAGUGGUCCUUGUGAAUGGGCGGCACAGAGGCACUGUUGCCUUACAGUAAGAAGGUCCCUGGCUCUAGGCCCGGCUAGGUCAGGUGGCUUUCUGUGUGUAGUUGUGCAUGUUCUUCCUGUGUCAGAUUGGGUUUACUCCAGGUACUCCCACAGGCUAAAAACAUGCAAGUUAUGUGAACUGAGGAUACCAAAUUGUCCGUCUUGUAACCUGUGUAUGGAUUAACCAGUUCGCACUGUGAAUACAGCCAUAGAUGCUGGAAUGGCAUGAAGAAUAAAGAAAGA